rnacentral:rRNA from 1 species
AGGAUGAACGCUAGCGACAGGCUAACACAUGCAAGUCGAGGGGCAGACAUAAAAGUAGCGAUACUUGGUGGCGACCGGCGCACGGGUGAGUAACGCGUAUGCAACCUACCUAUCAGAGGGGAAUAACCCGGCGAAAGUCGGACUAAUACCGCAUAAAACAGGGGCACCGCAUGGUGAUAUUUGUUAAAGAGAUUCGCUGAUAGAUGGGCAUGCGUUCCAUUAGGUAGUUGGUGAGGUAACGGCUCACCAAGCCGACGAUGGAUAGGGGAACUGAGAGGUUGGUCCCCCACACUGGUACUGAGACACGGACCAGACUCCUACGGGAGGCAGCAGUGAGGAAUAUUGGUCAAUGGGCGGGAGCCUGAACCAGCCAAGUCGCCGUGAAGGAAGAAGGAUCUAUGGUUCGUAAACUUCUUUUGCAGGGGAAUAAAGUGCAGGACGUGUCCUGUUUUGUAUGUACCCUGAGAAUAAGGAUCGGCUAACUCCGUGCCAGCCGCUGC